rnacentral:rRNA from 1 species
AACGAACGCUGGCGGCAUGCCUAACACAUGCAAGUCGAACGAGACCUUCGGGUCUAGUGGCGCACGGGUGCGUAACGCGUGGGAACCUGCCCUUAGGUUCGGAAUAACUCCCCGAAAGGGGUGCUAAUACCGGAUAAUGUCUUCGGACCAAAGAUUUAUCGCAUUUGGAUGGGCCCGCGUUGGAUUAGCUAGUUGGUAGGGUAAAAGCCUACCAAGGCGGCGAUCCAUAGCUGGUCUGAGAGGAUGAUCAGCCACACUGGGACUGAGACACGGCCCAGACUCCUACGGGAGGCAGCAGUGGGGAAUAUUGGACAAUGGGCUGAAGCCUGAUCCAGCAAUGCCGCGUGAGUGAUGAAAGCCUUAGGGUUGUAAAGCUCUAUUACCCGGGAUGAUAAUGACAGUACCGGGAGAAUAAGCUCCGGCUAACUCCGUG